AAUGGGUCAGCGACUUAUAUUCUGUAGCAAGGUUAACCGAAUAGGGGAGCCGAAGGGAAACCGAGUCUUAACUGGGCGUUAAGUUGCAGGGUAUAGACCCGAAACCCGGUGAUCUAGCCAUGGGCAGGUUGAAGGUUGGGUAACACUAACUGGAGGACCGAACCGACUAAUGUUGAAAAAUUAGCGGAUGACUUGUGGCUGGGGGUGAAAGGCCAAUCAAACCGGGAGAUAGCUGGUUCUCCCCGAAAGCUAUUUAGGUAGCGCCUCGUGAAUUCAUCUCCGGGGGUAGAGCACUGUUUCGGCAAGGGGGUCAUCCCGACUUACCAACCCGAUGCAAACUGCGAAUACCGGAGAAUGUUAUCACGGGAGACACACGGCGGGUGCUAACGUCCGUCGUGAAGAGGGAAACAACCCAGACCGCCAGCUAAGGUCCCAAAGUCAUGGUUAAGUGGGAAACGAUGUGGGAAGGCCCAGACAGCCAGGAUGUUGGCUUAGAAGCAGCCAUCAUUUAAAGAAAGCGUAAUAGCUCACUGGUCGAGUCGGCCUGCGCGGAAGAUGUAACGGGGCUAAACCAUGCACCGAAGCUGCGGCAGCGACACUGUGUGUUGUUGGGUAGGGGAGCGUUCUGUAAGCCUGUGAAGGUGUACUGUGAGGUAUGCUGGAGGUAUCAGAAGUGCGAAUGCUGACAUAAGUAACGAUAAAGCGGGUGAAAAGCCCGCUCGCCGGAAGACCAAGGGUUCCUGUCCAACGUUAAUCGGGGCAGGGUGAGUCGACCCCUAAGGCGAGGCCGAAAGGCGUAGUCGAUGGGAAACAGGUUAAUAUUCCUGUACUUGGUGUUACUGCGAAGGGGGGACGGAGAAGGCUAUGUUGGCCGGGCGACGGUUGUCCCGGUUUAAGCGUGUAGGCUGGUUUUCCAGGCAAAUCCGGAAAAUCAAGGCUGAGGCGUGAUGACGAGGCACUACGGUGCUGAAGCAACAAAUGCCCUGCUUCCAGGAAAAGCCUCUAAGCAUCAGGUAACAUCAAAUCGUACCCCAAACCGACACAGGUGGUCAGGUAGAGAAUACCAAGGCGCUUGAGAGAACUCGGGUGAAGGAACUAGGCAAAAUGGUGCCGUAACUUCGGGAGAAGGCACGCUGAUAUGUAGGUGAAGCGACUUGCUCGUGGAGCUGAAAUCAGUCGAAGAUACCAGCUGGCUGCAACUGUUUAUUAAAAACACAGCACUGUGCAAACACGAAAGUGGACGUAUACGGUGUGACGCCUGCCCGGUGCCGGAAGGUUAAUUGAUGGGGUUAGCGCAAGCGAAGCUCUUGAUCGAAGCCCCGGUAAACGGCGGCCGUAACUAUAACGGUCCUAAGGUAGCGAAAUUCCUUGUCGGGUAAGUUCCGACCUGCACGAAUGGCGUAAUGAUGGCCAGGCUGUCUCCACCCGAGACUCAGUGAAAUUGAACUCGCUGUGAAGAUGCAGUGUACCCGCGGCAAGACGGAAAGACCCCGUGAACCUUUACUAUAGCUUGACACUGAACAUUGAGCCUUGAUGUGUAGGAUAGGUGGGAGGCUUUGAAGUGUGGACGCCAGUCUGCAUGGAGCCGACCUUGAAAUACCACCCUUUAAUGUUUGAUGUUCUAACGUGGACCCGUGAUCCGGGUUGCGGACAGUGUCUGGUGGGUAGUUUGACUGGGGCGGUCUCCUCCUAAAGAGUAACGGAGGAGCACGAAGGUUGGCUAAUCCUGGUCGGACAUCAGGAGGUUAGUGCAAUGGCAUAAGCCAGCUUGACUGCGAGCGUGACGGCGCGAGCAGGUGCGAAAGCAGGUCAUAGUGAUCCGGUGGUUCUGAAUGGAAGGGCCAUCGCUCAACGGAUAAAAGGUACUCCGGGGAUAACAGGCUGAUACCGCCCAAGAGUUCAUAUCGACGGCGGUGUUUGGCACCUCGAUGUCGGCUCAUCACAUCCUGGGGCUGAAGUAGGUCCCAAGGGUAUGGCUGUUCGCCAUUUAAAGUGGUACGCGAGCUGGGUUUAGAACGUCGUGAGACAGUUCGGUCCCUAUCUGCCGUGGGCGCUGGAGAACUGAGGGGGGCUGCUCCUAGUACGAGAGGACCGGAGUGGACGCAUCACUGGUGUUCGGGUUGUCAUGCCAAUGGCACUGCCCGGUAGCUAAAUGCGGAAGAGAUAAGUGCUGAAAGCAUCUAAGCACGAAACUUGCC
rnacentral:rRNA from 1 species